GUGACCAACUGAAGCAAGAGAUUAAAUGCUAGGAAGAAAUAGAGAAAAUGUCCUGGAUGAGAGGAGAGGAUUCGGAUGCAGAAAUGACGAGUCUGCUUAGUCUACAUUAUGUGCAUGGUGAUGGCGAGCAGGGUGGGGCAAUGGGACAAUACUUUUCUUUGCUUUUUAAAAAAUCAUCUGUGGUGACUAGUGUAGCCCAUUUUUCUCUCCUAUCUGAAUUUUCUUUUAUUGUGAAAUAUUUCAAAUAUACAGAAAAGUUAUGAUAAUUAUAUAUGUAACACAUAUCCAUAUAUUUGCUACCUGUAUUUGUUAACAUUUUGCCAUAUUUGCUUUAAGGGUCUCUUAUUUUUAACACAUAAAACAUCACAGUUACAGGUUGAAGUGCUCCACUUUUGAUGCUCUCCUGAUCUAUUAUUCUUUCUUGUAUGAGCUUUUCAAAUAACAAACCAUUCCUAAUUCUCAACAAUUCUUCACCUGGGCUUAUUCGUGAGUCUUCAGCCAGCUGAAGGUCAGGUAAGCAGUUCUGGUGAUGUUGGCUAGACCCUCUCAUAUGUUUGAGCAUUGGCUGGCUGCAGGCUGGAAUAGAUGACCUCAGCUGGGACAAUUGGACUUUCCUUCACUGGGCCUUAUCCCCCAGGAUGCUAGCCCAUAAUUUUUCACAUAAUGGUAGUCAGGUUGAAAAAGAGAGAAUUAACAUCAUUUUUACCACAUUCUGUUGAUUAAAGCAAAUCUGAAAACCAUCCAAGAAUCAAGAGUUAGGGUAAUAGACUUCACAUUUUGAUGAGAGGUGCUUACAUGAGUCACUUUGCAAAGAGCACAGGAUAGAAAAAAGAAUUGAGAAUAUUUGUGUCAUCCAUGGGUCUGUCUUUCUCUCCUUAGCAGUAAUCAUUAUCUUGAUGUUGUUGUUGUUCGUUUUAUGGGUUUAUUCAUAGUUUUAAUACAUAUCUAUAUAGUGUAACUAUGAAAUAUAUAAAGUAUUAUAUCAAAAAAAUUAUUUUCUAUAUAUCAUUCAAUAACUUCCUUUUAUAAAAUCCAAUACCAUGCUUUGGGGAUUUAACCAUACUGAUAGACUUAUAGCAACUUUAUUAAUCUUGGUUGUAGCAUGUUAUUUUUUUAAUACUCUGUAUUAUAUGCAUAUAGCCCAAAUUGUUUAUUUAUCCAUUCUAUUUAUUGACAAUGAGGUGGCUUCCACCUUUGUAUCAUUUGGUCCCAUGCUGCAAUAGCCACAUUCUUAUACAUGUAUUACUGUGCACAUUUGUUCAAACUUCUCUAGAGUGUAUGACUGGGUUUUCUGGAUUGUGGAAUAUGGACAUCUUCAAAUUUAAUAGAUAUGUUCUAAAUGUAGCCCCAAAGUGAGUAUAGCAGACUUCCCUUCUACAGUAUAUCAUUAUUGCUUUGCAUUUCCUUGGGUUCUGGUGAUGUCAAGCAGCUUCUGUAUAGUUUUGUUCUUUUUUUUUCCAGUAUUAUCUGAACCCAGCCCCUUUUAUUUUUUAUUUUGAGACAGGUUCUUGUUGCUUAAGGCCUCACUAAGUUACUGAGGCUGGCUUUGAACUUGUGAUCCUCCUGCUCCAGCCUUUUGACACUUAUCAAAGAACAAAGUGGGAGAACAGGUGUGCACCACCACACCCAGCUAGCGUAACAUUUGUUUAUAGGCCAUUAAGAUUUCCUUAUUUGUCAGCUUCCUGUGUAAAUUCUUGGUCCAUUUUUUUCCUUAAAUUGUUUCUGUUUCAUAUGGGUUGUGCAGAUUUUUUUUCUGUAUUCUGAAUAUUAAAGUUUUACUAGUUUUUCUUGCAAUUUUUUUCACAGUUUAUGGUUUAUUUUUCUUUUUUAAAAUUAGACUUUUUAAUUGAUAUUUUGAGGUGUUUUAUUUGUUUAUUAUUUUUUGACUAUAUUGUGGUGGGAUCAAACCCAGGGUCUCACAUAUGCAAGACAAACUAUCACUGAACUAUCCUCUAAAUCCAUCUUUUCACUUUUUCUUAUAUUUUAUUUUUACAGAGGUUUGAGAUUUUAAUGUAAUAUAAUUUACUACUCUUUUCCUUUAUAGUUUGAACUUUUUGUAUCUCAUUUCAGAUAUCCUUUCUUACUCUCAGGAUCAUAGCUAUAACUAUAUACUCAUCUGUUUUCUCCUAAGAAUUUUAAUGUUUUUCUUUUUAUUAUUUAGGACUUAAUCCAUCUGGUAUUCACUUUUGUGUAUUGUGAAGUAGCUCCCAUUUUACCUGGAUAUAGAAACAGGGAGAAAACAAUAAGACAUUAUAGCUAAAAAUUUUCUGGAACCAAUGAACAUGAAUCUUCAAAUAAAGGAGAAAUGAAGGAGGGAGAGAAAAAAGAAAGAAAGAAAAAAUUAAAAACUAUGUUCCCCAUCCUACAACUUCAGAUGUGAAUUUAAAACUUCAGUGUGAACAAAUCAGAAAAAAAAAAAUGAAGUGGGUUGUACUGUGAUGUACUAAUGGUUCUCAAAAGUCAGGAGCUGUGGGUUAGGAAGAAUGAGUUGGUCAGGAGUCCUGGCUUGGACCUGGAGGAUCUGUGUCACCUAACUGACAAGUUGUUGGUGGCUACUGGUACCUCUCCACGUGGGCAUCUGCACAAGCUGCUUCAUUGUCUCCAUAACAUGGCAGCUGGCUUCCUCCAGAGAAGUAAUCCUCAAGAGCAAGGUCACUCUCACUGAUGCUGCUAUGAACACCUUAGACACAAGUGUUUGUGUGGACAUUUAUCUUAAUUUCUGUUAGGUAGAUAUAGGAGUGAUAUUUCUGGGACAUAUGGUAAAUUUAUCUUUAACUUUUUAAAGAAACCAUUAAAAAACUAAAGUAUUUUUCAAGGCGGUAGCAUUUUACAUUCCUGCCAGCAGUAUAAGAGAGUUUCAAUUUUUCCAUAAUCUCACAAAAUCUUGUGACUGUCUUAUAAGAGCCAUCUUAAUGGGUGUGAAUGGGCACCUCACUGUAGUUUAAUUCUCAUUUCUCUAACAACUAGUGAUUUUGAGCAUCUUCCAUUUCCUUGUUAGUCAUUCAUAUAUCUCCUUUUGUAAAACAUCUGAUAAAGUCUUUUGUCCAUUUUAUAAUUGGGAAUUUUUAUAAUUGAGUUGUAAGAAUUCUUUAUAUAUUCUGAAUAUAAAUCCUUCAUAUGAUUUGCAAACAUUGUCUCCCAAUCUGUGACUCCUUUUACUUUCUUAAUGAUAUCUUUUGAAACACAGAAGUUUUACUUGUGAUGAAGUCCAAUUUAUCAACAUUUUAAAGUUAAUUUUGGUGCAUGGUAUGAAUUAAGGGACUAAAUUCAAAUGCUUGCAGGUGGACUUCCACGCAUCUUAAAACCAUUUGUUGCAAAGACUGUCUUUUCCCUUAUUGAAUUUCCUUGGUUCCUUGUCUAAAAUCAAUUGGCCAUAAAUAUAUGACUUUAUUUUUGGAUCUUCAAUUCUGUUUUAUUGAUCUGUAUGUCUAUCCUUACGCAAAGGAUUUUAAAACUUGCUACAAAGCUACUACAAUUAAGAUGUAAGUUUUGAAAUUAGAUGUCAUCUGAUUUUAAUCUUUUCAAGAUUAUGUUAGCUUUUUGAAUCCUUUGCAUUUCCCUAUAUAUCUUAGAUUGUCCUUUUCUUGGGGGGGAUUUGGAGUGGAACAGCUGAAAUUUUCAUAGGAAUUAUCAAUUCAUUUGGGGGAGAAUAAUAUUGAGUCUUAUAAUUAAUGAACAAGAAUAUUGUAUUAGUCAUAGUUCUCUAGAGAAACAAAACCAAUAGAGGGGAGCUGGGGUUGUAGCUCAGUGGUAGAGCACUUGCCUAGCAUGUGUAAGGCACUGGGUUUAGUUCUCAGCACCACAUAUAAAUAAAUAAAUAAAUAAAUAAAUAAAUAAAUAAAUAAAUGCCCAUUGACAACUUAAAAAAUAUUUUUAAAAAACUAUAAAGGGUGUGGGCAGCGGGAGAAAUUGUGGAGACUGGCAAUUCCAACAUCUGGAGGGUGUCUGGAGACCCAGAAAAGAGCUACUGCUGCUGUCUAAUAGCUGUCAGAAUGGGAACUCAGAAAGGAACAAAUGUUACCAUUCAAAUAUGAAGCCUUUUUGCUGCAGAAUUCCAUCUUGCUCAGGACAGAUUGGCCUUCAACUGAUUGAAGCCCACCCACGUUAUGGAGAUGGGAACUUUACUCAAAGUUUAUCCAUUUAAAUGUUAAUCUCAUCUCAAAACACCCUCACAGAAACUUCCAGAAUAAUGUUUAAUGGUUUUAUUGAUUGGUUUUUGGCUGUUAAACUCAGACUGCAUUGCUAGGAAGAAUCCCACAAUCAUGAUGCAUUAUGCUUCUUUUAUAUUAUUGUAAUUAAGUUGCUAAAAUAUUGUUAAGAAUAUUUACAUCUAUGAUUAUGAGGAAUAUUGAUCUAUAAUUUCAGUUAUUGAUGUCAUUAUUUUUAAAAUUCUAAUGUCUUUCUCUGGUUUCAAUAAAUGAUAAUGCUGGCCACA